rnacentral:rRNA from 1 species
UACGGAGGAUGCAAGCGUUAUCCGGAAUGAUUGGCGUAAAGCGUCCGCAGGUGGCUAUGUAAGUCUGCUGUUAAAGAGUCUAGCUCAACUAGAUAAGAGCAGUGGAAACUACAUGGCUAGAGUGCGUUCGGGCAGAGGGAAUUCCUGGUGUAGCGGUGAAAUGCGUAGAGAUCAGGAAGAACACCGGUGGCGAAGGCGCUCUGCUAGGCCGCAACUGACACUGAGGGACGAAAGCUAGGGAGCGAAUGG